rnacentral:misc_RNA from 1 species
UCCGGUUUGUCACCGGCGGUCCCCUUAGAGUUCCCAACUUAAUGCUGGCAACUAAGGGCAAGGGUUGCGCUCGUUGCGGGACUUAACCCAACAUCUCACGACACGAGCUGACGACAGCCAUGCACCACCUGUGCGGGCUCCGAAGAGCACCGUGUUUCCACGGUUUCACCCCGCAUGUCAAGCCCUGGUAAGGUUCUUCGCGUUGCGUCGAAUUAAGCCACAUGCUCCGCCGCUUGUGCGGGCCCCCGUCAAUUCUUUUGAGUUUUAGCCUUGCGGCCGUACUCCCCAGGCGGGAUGCUUAAUGCGUUAGCUGCGCCACCAACAAGCAUGCUUGCUGACGGCUAGCAUCCAUCGUUUAAGGCGUGGACUAC